rnacentral:rRNA from 1 species
GACGAACGCUGGCGGCGUGCUUAACACAUGCAAGUCGAACGAAGAGCGAUGGAAGCUUGCUUCUAUCAAUCUUAGUGGCGAACGGGUGAGUAACGCGUAAUCAACCUGCCCUUCAGAGGGGGACAACAGUUGGAAACGACUGCUAAUACCGCAUACGAUCUAACCUCGGCAUCGAGGAUAGAUGAAAGGUGGCCUCUACAUGUAAGCUAUCACUGAAGGAGGGGAUUGCGUCUGAUUAGCUAGUUGGAGGGGUAACGGCCCACCAAGGCGAUGAUCAGUAGCCGGUCUGAGAGGAUGAACGGCCACAUUGGGACUGAGACACGGCCCAGACUCCUACGGGAGGCAGCAGUGGGGAAUCUUCCGCAAUGGACGAAAGUCUGACGGAGCAACGCCGCGUGAGUGAUGACGGCCUUCGGGUUGUAAAGCUCUGUUAAUCGGGACGAAAGGCCUUCUUGCGAAUAGUUAGAAGGAUGAC